rnacentral:rRNA from 1 species
CCUACGGGAGGCAGCAGUGGGGAAUUUUCCGCAAUGGGCGAAAGCCUGACGGAGCAAUCUCGCGUGAGGGAUGACUGCCUAUGGGUUGUAAACCUCUUUUUUCAGGGAGGAAUAAAUGACGUGUACCUGAAGAAUAAGCAUCGGCUAACUCCGUGCCAGCAGCCGCGGUAAGACGGAGGAUGCAAGUGUUAUCCGGAAUCACUGGGCGUAAAGCGUCUGUAGGUGGUUUAAUAAGUCAACUGUUAAAUCUUGAAGCUCAACUUCAAAAUCGCAGUCGAAACUAUUGGACUAGAGUAUAGUAGGGGUAAAGGGAAUUUCCAGUGGAGCGGUGAAAUGCGUAGAGAUUGGAAAGAACACCGAUGGCGAAGGCACUUUACUGGGCUAUUACUGACACUCAGAGACGAAAGCUAGGGUAGC